rfam:Vagococcus penaei strain CD276, complete genome.
AGAGUGUUAUGAUGUUGGAGAUUAUUCUCCGAGUCUAGCUCGGUGCUUACCCUCUGGUUGUUGAAUCAGAGGG